rnacentral:rRNA from 1 species
UACGGAGGGGGGCUAGCGUUGUUCGGAAUUACUGGGCGUAAAAGCGCACGUAGGCGGCUUUUGUAAGUUAGAGGUGAAAGCCCGGGGCUCAACUCCGGAAUUGCCUUUAAGACUGCAUCGCUAGAAUUGUGGAGAGGUAAGUGGAAUUCCGAGUGUAGAGGUGAAAUUCGUAGAUAUUCGGAAGAACACCAGUGGCGAAGGCGACUUACUGGACACAUAUUGACGCUGAGGUGCGAAAAGCGUGGGGAGCAAACAGG